AGUGAACGCUGGCGGUAGGCCUAACACAUGCAAGUCGAACGGCAGCACAGUAAGAGCUUGCUCUUACGGGUGGCGAGUGGCGGACGGGUGAGGCAUACAUCGGAAUCUACUUUUUCGUGGGGGAUAAUGUAGGGAAACUUACGCUAAUACCGCAUACGACCUACGGGUGAAAGCAGGGGAUCUUCGGACCUUGCGCGAUUGAAUGAGCCGAUGUCGGAUUAGCUAGUUGGCGGGGUAAAGGCCCACCAAGGCGACGAUCCGUAGCUGGUCUGAGAGGAUGAUCAGCCACACUGGAACUGAGACACGGUCCAGACUCCUACGGGAGGCGGCAGUGGGGAAUAUUGGACAAUGGGCGCAAGCCUGAUCCAGCCAUACCGCGUGGGUGAAGAAGGCCUUCGGGUUGUAAAGCCCUUUUGUUGGGAAAGAAAAGCAGCAGGUUAAUACCCCGCUGUUCUGACGGUACCCAAAGAAUAAGCACCGGCUAACUUCGUG
rnacentral:rRNA from 1 species